UGCGACCCCAGGUCAGGCGGGGCUACCUGCUGAGUUUAUGCAUAUCAAUAAGCGGAGGAAAAGAAACUAACGAGGAUUCCCCUAGUAACGGCGAGCGAACCGGGUAAUUCUAAUUAACGGAAAGCGAAUCUGGUAUAUCUAAUU
rnacentral:rRNA from 1 species